rnacentral:rRNA from 1 species
GACAGAGGAUGCAAGCGUUAUCCGGAAUGAUUGGGCGUAAAGCGUCUGUAGGUGGCUUUUUAAGUCCGCCGUCAAAUCCCAGGGCUCAACCCCGGACAGGCGGUGGAAACUACCAAGCUGGAGUACGGUAGGGGCAGAGGGAAUUUCCGGUGGAGCGGUGAAAUGCGCAGAUAUCAGGAGGAACACCGGUGGCGAAGGCGGGUCUCUGGGCCGUAACUGACGCUGAGGACGAAAGCGUGGGGAGCGAACAGG